AUUGAACGCUGGCGGCAGGCCUAACACAUGCAAGUCGAGCGGAGCGGCGGACGGGUGAGUAAUGCCUAGGAAUCUGCCUGGUAGUGGGGGAUAACGUCCGGAAACGGGCGCUAAUACCGCAUAAUAUCAGAUGAGCCUAGGUCGGAUUAGCUAGUUGGUGGGGUAAAGGCCUACAAAGGCGACGAUCCGUAACUGAUCUGAGAGGAUGAUCAGUCACACGGGAAAUGAGACACGGACAAUGCUCCUACGUGAGGCAGCAGUGGGGAGUAUUGGACAAUAGGCGAAAGCCUGAUCCAGCCAUGCCGCGUGUGUGAAGAAGGUCUUGGGAUUGUAAAGCACUUUAAGUUGGGAGGCGUUACCAACAGAAUAAGCAACGGCUAACUUAGGGCCAGCAGCCGUGGUAAUUC
rnacentral:rRNA from 1 species